rnacentral:rRNA from 1 species
UACGUAGGGGGCAAGCGUUGUCCGGAAUCAUUGGGCGUAAAGAGCGUGUAGGCGGCUCGAUAAGUCUGCUGUGAAAGUCCAGGGCUCAACCCUGGAAGGCCGGUGGAAACUGUCGGGCUAGAGUCCGGAAGAGGAGAAGUGGAAUUCCUGGUGUAGCGGUGAAAUGCGCAGAUAUCAGGAGGAACACCCAUGGCGAAAGGCAGGCU